AGGUGAUGGAGAGGACUUUGAAGUGGAUUCCCUGGGGGAUUGGGAGCCAGUGGAGGUUAUAAAGGACAGGAGUGAUGUGUACGAGAGUGGGUGAGGAGACGAGCAGCAGAGUUUUGGAUAUACUGUAGUCUCUUGAGUGUUUUGGAUGCUGAACCAUAGAUCAGGCUAUUGCAGUAGUUGAGUCUGGAUUUGAAGAAUGCGUGGGUGAGGGUCUCAGCAGCUGGAAAGGUUAGCGAUGGACGGAGGCAGGCAAUGUUCCUGAGGUGAAAGAAGGCUGUUUUAGUGCCGUUUUUGAUGUGCUAGUUGAAGGAGAGGGUUUAAUCGAAGGUGACACACCCCAGCGAAUCCACUUCAAAGUCCUCACCAUCACCACAAAGCCCUCCAUAACCAGGUCCCCCGCUACCUGUCUCAGCUCCUCCACCAGCAAAAUCCAUCCCGCUCUCUACGGUCUGCUGACGCCAACCUCCAACAGGAAAACUGGACCCUUCUCAACCACACUCACCAAACAAGGAAGUUCAAUAUCAAUGGAUCACAAAUGGAAAACUGGACUCUUCUCAACCACACUGGCCAAACAAGGAAGUUCAAAAUCAAUGGAUCACAAAUGGAAAACAGGAAAACUGGACCCUUCUCAACCACACUCGCCAAACAAGGAAGUUCAAUAUCAAUGGAUCACAAAUGGAAAACUGGACUCUUCUGAACCACACUCACCAAACAAGGAAGUUCAAUAUCAAUGGAUCACAAAUGGAAAACUGGACUCUUCUCAACCACACUGGCCAAACAAGGAAGUUCAAAAUCAAUGGAUCAGAAAUGGAAAACAGGAAAACUGGACCCUUCUCAACCACACUGACCAAACAAGGAAGUUCAAUAUCUCUUAGAGUCUGCAUGUACGGGGCCUAAGUUGGUAUUGUUCUGUCCAUCAAAAGGAUUCCCACAACUAUCACAGCCGGAAAACUGGACUCUUCUCAACCACACCCUCCAAACAAGGAAGUUCAAUAUCAAUGGAUCACAAAUGGAAAACUGGACUCAUCUCAACCACACUCGCCAAACAAGGAAGUUCAAAAUCAAUGGAUCACAAAUGGAAAACUGGACUCUUCUCAACCACACUGGCCAAACAAGGAAGUUCAAAAUCAAUGGAUCACAAAUGGAAAACAGGAAAACUGGACUCUUCUCAACCACACCCUCCAAACAAGGAAGUUCAAUAUCAAUGGAUCACAAAUGGAAAACUGGACUCAUCUCAACCACACUCGCCAAACAAGGAAGUUCAAAAUCAAUGGAUCACAAAUGGAAAACUGGACUCUUCUCAACCACACUGGCCAAACAAGGAAGUUCAAAAUCAAUGGAUCACAAAUGGAAAACUGGACUCUUCUCAAUCACACUGGCCAAACAAGGAAGUUCAAAAUCAAUGGAUCACAAAUGGAAAACAGGAAAACUGGACCCUUCUCAACCACACUGACCAAACAAGGAAGUUCAAUAUCUCUUAGAGUCUGCAUGUACGGGGCCUAAGUUGGUAUUGUUCUGUCCAUCAAAAGGAUUCCCACAACUAUCACAGCCGGAAAACUGGACUCUUCUCAACCACACCCUCCAAACAAGGAAGUUCAAUAUCAAUGGAUCACAAAUGGAAAACUGGACUCUUCUCAACCACACUCACCAAACAAGGAAGUUCAAUAUCAAUGGAUCACAAAUGGAUAACUGGACUCAUCUCAACCACACUCGCCAAACAAGGAAGUUCAAAAUCAAUGGAUCACAAAUGGAAAACAGGAAAACUGGACCCUUCUCAACCACACUCGCCAAACAAGGAAGUUCAAUAUCUCUUAGAGUCCGCAUGUACGGGGCCUAAGGUGGUAUUGUUCUGUCCAUCAAAAGGAUUUCCACAACCCAUCAACAAUCCCCAUCACCAACAACUACAAUGAAGACUUCAUGUUGCUGUUACAUCGUGAUUUUAUGCUGUAGGGGAACAUCAAAGAGACACCAACAGCAGAAGGAGAAACACAACAUAUCACAAAGCAAAUUUAAGUACACUUUUUCUUUGAAAUAAGAUUUGUUUCCAGUAGUUUUGUAAUUUACUAAAGAUAUAUUGUUCAUCUGUACUCAGAAAACACUGAAUUAAUGCUAUUGUGUUUUUCUUUCCCUUUCCCUUUCCCUUUCCAAAAAAAACAACAAAAAAAACAAAAAAAAACCCCUCUUUUCUCUUCUUCUUUUCAUUCAACAUAUUGCACUCCUGUAGCGAUGACAGUUAGCUCUUAAAGUUAUGUACUUACUUGAUUCCUGUGUUCUAUGUCUAGUACCAUCAGGUUGAAUGCACUUGUCGCUUCAUCUAAUUAAGGAUUUUUUCUCCUUUUUUCUUUUCCUAUUUGUUUUUUUUGUUUUGUGAUUUUGCCAUAAAUGUGACACCUGAUGAACACCAUGCAAAGAAGUUUACAUCAUGAUUUUGUGCUGAAGGGGAACAUCAAAGAGACACCAACAGCAUAAGGAGAAACACAACAUAAACAACAAAAUAAAUUUAAGUACUCUUUUCCUUUGAAAUAAAAUUAGUAUCCAGUAGUUUUGUAAUUCACUAAAGAUAUAUUGUUCAUCUGUACUCAGAAAACACUGAAUUAAUGCUAUUGUGUUUUUCUUUCCCUUUCCCUUUCCCUUUCCAAAAAAAACAACAAAAAAACCAAAAAAAAAACCCUCUUUUCUCUUCUUCUUUUCAUUCAACAUAUUGCACUCCUGUAGCGAUGACAGUUAGCUCUUAAAGUUAUGUACUUACUUGAUUCCUGUGUUCUAUGUCUAGUACCAUCAGGUUGAAUGCACUUGUCGCUUCAUCUAAUUAAUGAUUUUUUCUCCUUUUUUCUUUUCCUAUUUGUUUUUUUUGUUUUGUGAUUUUGCCAUAAAUGUGACACCUGAUGAACACCAUGCAAAGAAGGUUACAUCAUGAUUUUGUGCUGAAGGGGAACAUCAAAGAGACACCAACAGCAUAAGGAGAAACACAACAUAAACAACAAAAUAAAUUUAAGUACUCUUUUCCUUUGAAAUAAAAUUAGUAUCCAGUAGUUUUGUAAUUUACUAAAGAUAUAUUGUUCAUCUGUACUCAGAAAACACUGAAUUAAUGCUAUUGUGUUUUUCUUUCCCUUUCCCUUUCCCUUUCCAAAAAAAACAACAAAAAAAACAAAAAAAAAACCCUCUUUUCUCUUCUUCUUUUCAUUCAACAUAUUGCACUCCUGUAGCGAUGACAGUUAGCUCUUAAAGUUAUGUACUUACUUGAUUCCUGUGUUCUAUGUCUAGUACCAUCAGGUUGAAUGCACUUGUCGCUUCAUCUAAUUAAUGAUUUUUUCU